GAUGAACGCUGGCGGCGUGCCUAAUACAUGCAAGUCGAACGGAAAGGCCUCUUUCGGGGGGUACUCGAGUGGCGAACGGGUGAGUAACACGUGAGUAACCUGCCCUUGACUUUGGGAUAACUUCAGGAAACUGGGGCUAAUACCGGAUAGGAGCUCCUGCUGCAUGGUGGGGGUUGGAAAGUUUCGGCGGUUGGGGAUGGACUCGCGGCUUAUCAGCUUGUUGGUGGGGUAGUGGCUUACCAAGGCUUUGACGGGUAGCCGGCCUGAGAGGGUGACCGGCCACAUUGGGACUGAGAUACGGCCCAGACUCCUACGGGAGGCAGCAGUGGGGAAUAUUGCACAAUGGGUGGAAGCCUGAUGCAGCAACGCCGUGUGCGGGAUGACGGCCUUCGGGUUGUAAACCGCUUUCGCUCAUGACGAAGCUUUGUGUGACGGUAGUGGGUAAAGAAGCACCGGCUAACUACGUG
rnacentral:rRNA from 1 species